rnacentral:tRNA from 1 species
AAUAAAGUGCCUGAAAAAGGAUUAUUUUGAUAGAAUAAAUUAUAUAAUAUUAAUUAUUAUCUUUAUUA